rnacentral:rRNA from 1 species
GACAGAGGGUGCAAACGUUGUUCGGAAUUACUGGGCGUAAAGCGCGUGUAGGCGGCGUGACAAGUCGGGUGUGAAAGCCCCGGGCUCAACCCGGGAAGUGCAUUCGAUACUGCUGCGCUCGAGUCUCGGAGAGGAUGGUGGAACUCUCGGUGUAGAGGUGAAAUUCGUAGAUAUCGAGAAGAACACCGGUGGCGAAGGCGGCCAUCUGGACGAAGACUGACGCUGAGACGCGAAAGCGUGGGGAGCAAACAGG